GGCUUAUAAUUGAAGUCUGGCAUGAAAGAAACUACGGGUAAUUACUGUCUCCCUUGGUCAUCUUGAAUUUCCUUAAAGGGUGAAAAUGCCCUUUGAUAAAUAAUAGACGAGAAGACCCUAGAAAUUUUUUAUACCAUAAGAUAAUCUUAUUUCUAUUUUGUUGGGGCGACAGAAUAACAUUUAACUUAUUUUAUUUAAUAUGAACUAUAUAUUGAGCAAAAAUAAAUUACUCUAGGGAUAACAGCAUAAUUUGAUAAAGUUUGUGACCUCGAUGUUGGACUAGGGAUUUCAUUAACCAGCAGUUAAUGAAACAGGCUCUGU
rnacentral:rRNA from 1 species